CACGUAGGGGGCAAGCGUUGUCCGGAUUUAUUGGGCGUAAAGAGCUCGUAGGCGGUUCGCUAAGUCGGGUGUGAAACCUCCAGGCUCAACCUGGAGACGCCACCUGAUACUGGUGUGACUCGAGUCCGGUAGGGGAGCGUGGAAUUCCUGGUGUAGCGGUGAAAUGCGCAGAUAUCAGGAGGAACACCAGCGGCGAAGGCGGCGCUCUGGGCCGGAACUGACGCUGAGGAGCGAAAGCUAGGGGAGCAAACGGG
rnacentral:rRNA from 1 species